rnacentral:rRNA from 1 species
UGGGGAAUAUUGCACAAUGGGCGAAAGCCUGACGCAGCAACGCCGCGUGAGUGAUGAAGGUCUUCGGAUUGUAAAGCUCUGUCUUUUGGGACGAUAAUGACGGUACCAAAGGAGGAAGCCACGGCUAACUACGUGCCAGCAGCCGCGGUAAUACGUAGGUGGCGAGCGUUGUCCGGAUUUACUGGGCGUAAAGGGUGCGUAGGCGGAUGUUUAAGUGAGAUGUGAAAUACCCGGGCUUAACUUGGGUGCUGCAUUUCAAACUGGAUAUCUAGAGUGCAGGAGAGGAGAAUGGAAUUCCUAGUGUAGCGGUGAAAUGCGUAGAGAUUAGGAAGAACACCAGUGGCGAAGGCGAUUCUCUGGACUGUAACUGACGCUGAGGCACGAAAGCGUGGGUAGCAAACAGGAUUAGAUACCCUGGUAGUCCACGCCGUAAACGAUGAGUACUAGGUGUAGGAGGUAUCGACCCCUUCUGUGCCGCAGUAAACACAUUAAGUACUCCGCCUGGGAAGUACGAUCGCAAGAUUAAAACUCU